rnacentral:rRNA from 1 species
GCCUCUUCCCAUUUCGAACAGAGCAGCUAAGCCCUUCUUCGCCAAUGGUACUGCUACCGCAAGGUUGUGGGAGAGUAGGUCGCCAGCGGGG